rnacentral:rRNA from 1 species
UACGUAGGGUGCGAGCGUUAAUCGGAAUUACUGGGCGUAAAGCGUGCGCAGGCGGUUGGUUAAGUCUGAUGUGAAAGCCCCGGGCUCAACCUGGGAAUGGCAUUGGAAACUGGUCAGCUGGAGUGUGGCAGAGGGGGGUGGAAUUCCACGUGUAGCAGUGAAAUGCGUAGAGAUGUGGAGGAACACCGAUGGCGAAGGCAGCCCCCUGGGCUAACACUGACGCUCAUGCACGAAAGCGUGGGGAGCAAACAGG